CCCAUUUUUAAUUGAUUUUUUUGUUUAAUGCUUGUUGAUUUGUUUACAUUUUUUAUAGAUUUUGGAUAUUAGACAUUUAGGUCCUUUAAUGUAGGAAGAGUACAGGAGAUAGUCAAGAAGACUUCAACAAAUUUCUAAAACACACAGAGCAUAUAGAGGAAUGAUAAAUCUGUACAGAGAGGAUAAACCUGUAACCAAAAAGUCAGAAGAGAAAAAUUUAUCAAGGACAAAAAGUUAAUCAGUGUCCCUUAAAUGCCCCCAAUUGGUAUUUGGAAGUACCAAGGGUCAAAGAUGGUGGAGAAUGAGACUGAAAAAGGAGGCUCUCCCUGCCUACGUUUCCUCCACAACUCUUUUCAUCAGAAAAAUGUUGGAGAAUGCACUUCAUUCAAAUGCCUGAAACCUAGUUAGAGAAUGUCCUGAGCUCCAGCAAUCA